GUUGGGGUAGUCUAAUAAGACGCCUAAUUUCGACUUAGGAGAACUUAACACUUAAGCUCCAAUA
rnacentral:tRNA from 2 species